GGUUUCAUCUGCUCGCUGCAGGUUGACUUGGCCAAUCUUCAGAAGAAGGAAGAGGAAAAGGCACUCAAGGAGCUUAGAGCCAAGGCACAGAAAGGACCCGUUGGAGGUGCUGGACUCAA